CCUACGGGGUGCAGCAGUGGGGAAUAUUGCACAAUGGGGGAAACCCUGAUGCAGCGACGCCGCGUGAGUGAAGAAGUAUCUCGGUACGUAAAGCUCUAUCAGCAGGGAAGAAAAUGACGGUACCUGACUAAGAAGCCCCGGCUAACUACGGGCCAGCAGCCGCGGUAAUACGUAGGGGGCAAGCGUUAUCCGGAUUUACUGGGUGUAAAGGGAGCGUAGACGGCAGCACAAGUACGGAGGGAAAUCCCGGGGCUUAACCCCGGAACUGCUUUGGAAACUGUGCGGCUGGAGUGCAGGAGGGGUAAGCGGAAUGCCUGGUGUAGCGGUGAAAUGCGUAGAUAUUAGGAAGAACACCGGUGGCGAAGGCAGCUUACUGGACUGUAACUGACGUUGAGGCUCGAAAGCGUGGGGAGCAAACAGGAUUAGAUACCCCUGUAGUC
rnacentral:rRNA from 1 species